rnacentral:lncRNA from 1 species
UAGCUCUUCUGGUUGAAUUGAACCCUUUACCAACAGGUAGUGCUCUUCUUUGUCUUUUUUGAUCUUUGUUAAUUUAAAGUCUGUUUUGUUAGGAACUAGGAUUGCAAGCUCUGUUUUUUUCUGCUUUCUGUUUGCUUGGUAAAUUUUCCUCCAUCCCUUUAUUUUUAGCCUAUGUGUUUCUUUGUGUGUGAGAUGGGUCUCUUGAAUACAGCAUACUGAUGGGUCUUGGUUCUUUAUCUAGCUUGCCAUUCUGUGUCUUUCAUUGGAAAACACAUUGAGAUUUAAGAAAGAUCAUCUUCAAGCUCUGAGAUUCUUUUCUUGGCCUAUUCUGCUGUUAAUAAUUGUGAUUUCAUUGUGAAGUUCACUCAGCUCUAACAGUGCUGGGAUUACAAGCGUGAGCUACCACACCCAGCGAGGAAGCCAAGUUUAACGUGUGUGCUCCACUCCUCCAACCUGGCCAAAGGGCAGUCAUCAUCACUGGCCACUGCUGACCACAGCCUUUAGAAACUCCCCUUGAACGUGCUGGGCUGACCUUCCUCUGAUCACAGGCAAGGCAAAGGAAAACGACAGGCCCUUGCCUUCCCGGUCCUCAAGGGUCAGCUGUAAGAUGAUGUCAUAAAGCCAGAUCAGGUCCUGGGGCCGGGGGAAGCACUUGCUGUCAUCCUCUGGCUGCUGCUGCAGCAGAGCCCUCUGCAGACCUUUGGCCAUGCUCUCAUUACGCUUGAUUGCCAUUGACAGCUUGAUGUUGUAGAUGAGCAUGAGAGUGUGGAGCAGA